rnacentral:rRNA from 1 species
CAGCCGCCACGGUAAUACGUAGGGUGCAAGCGUUACUCGGAAUUACUGGGCGUAAAGCGUGCGUAGGUGGUGGUUUAAGUCCGUUGUGAAAGCCCUGGGCUCAACCUGGGAAUUGCAGUGGAUACUGGGUCACUAGAGUGUGGUAGAGGAUAGUGGAAUUUCCGGUGUAGCAGUGAAAUGCGUAGAGAUCAGAAGGAACAUCUGUGGCGAAGGCGACUAUCUGGGCCAACACUGACACUGAGGCACGAAAGCGUGGGGAGCAAACGGGAUUAGAGACCCCUGUAGUCCCUGUCUCUUAUAC